rnacentral:lncRNA from 1 species
CGGGGACGGUGCUGAGCUGGGCUUCGGCGCCGACCUCAGCAUCGGCACCGGCACCGGUGAGUGUUCGGCACCAGGAUCCCACGGGGAAUGGGAGGGGUGGGAUGGGCGGGACCCCCAAACCCGGCCCUGCCACGCUCCCCCUGCCUCGGCGUGGCUGCCCCUCCGCUUCUGUCCCCUCAGGCUCUCCGGGGUCGCUGGUGGAGCCUGAGAGACCCAAGAAGGGGAAAAAGGAAAAAAACCCCAAGAAGCCCAAGGAGAGACCCCGAGGCCCCAAGAAGGAUAAGGACAAGGUUAAGGACAAAGACCGGGGCAAGAACAAACCCCCCAAGAAGUCCAAGGAGAAGCCACCAAAAGGCUCUGAAAAACCUCCAAAAGCCUCUGAAAAAACCCCAAAAGGCUCCAAGAAGCCCAAGGAGAAGCCACCCAAGGCCACCAAGCCCUCUGGCAAGAAGCCACCAGUGCCACCAAGCCCCUCCCCUGAACUCCCCAGUACUCUGCAGCCCUCACAGGGCAAAGAGGAUGAAAAGACACACAGGUUCCUGGAGCCUUUGCACAACAAGGAGGAGGAGGAGGAGGAUGGAGGUGUCCGAGGAGAGCGAGAAGAGUCACUAAAAGAGCGCUGGGAGGACUGGAACCCUCAGCCGCAGCCAGAGGUCCCUGAGGAGCCAGAACCCCCAACUCUGGACUACAAUGAGCAGCUGGAGCGGGAGGACUACGAGGAUUGUACGGUGCUGGGCUGUAGGCGGGGGGCCACGGGGGCCCCUGGCCUGCAGGGAGGGAUGGAGGGCAUGCCCCCCCCCCGCCUCUCACCACAAGGCUACUGCCACCCUCUCUGUCCCCAGUCGAGUACAUCCGGCGGCAGCCCCCCAAGCCCCCAGGCAGGAGGAGACCUGACCGGGUCUGGCCCCAGCCCAAGGAGACAGGUACGUGGGAGGAUGGGGACAUGGGGGGGCUGGCACCGCUCAGGGUGAGGAAGGGGGACAGUCCCCAGCCUUGGGAGUCUGGGGAAGCAGCAUUUUGGGGCAGCCUGAAGCUGGGGUGAACAUGGGGACAGCACAGGGGGUGCAUAGACCCUGUAGGGGUGUGAAGAUCUCUUGGUGGCACAGAGGUCCUCUGGGGAUAUAGAGGGGUCCUGUAGGGACACAGAGAGCCCUGCAGGGACAUGGGGACCCUGUGGGGGCAUGGAGAACCCUGUAGGAAAAUAGAGUUCCCAUUGGAGCAUGGAGGACUCUUGCGGGAACACCAGAGGUGUGGGGAUCUCUGGGGACAUGGGCAUCCCAGUGGGAUACAGAGGAGUCCGGUGGGGACAUGGGGACCUCGUGGUACAUGGGAACCCAAAAGGGAAAUGUGGGUUCCAGAGGGGCAUGCUGACCCCAUAGGGAACAGAG